rnacentral:rRNA from 1 species
GCUCCAAUAGCGUAUAUUAAAGCUGUUGCGGUUAAAAAGCUCGUAGUUGGAUUUCUGUCAAGUACAACUGGUCCGCCUCUGGGUGAGCACAUAGUUUGGUCUUGGCAUCUUGCUGGAAACUGUUGCUGCACUUGGCUGUGUGGCGCAGUGUCCAGAAGCAGGCAAUGCCUUUGAACACAGUAGCAUGGAAUAAUUAGAUU